AUUGAACGCUGGCGGCAGGCCUAACACAUGCAAGUCGAGCGGGGUCUUCGGACCUAGCGGCGGACGGGUGAGUAAUGCGUAGGAAGCUGCCCGAUAGAGGGGGAUACCAGUUGGAAACGACUGUUAAUACCGCAUAAUGUCUACGGACCAAAGUGUGGGACCUUCGGGCCACAUGCUAUCGGAUGCGCCUACGUGGGAUUAGCUAGUUGGUGAGGUAAUGGCUCACCAAGGCGACGAUCUCUAGCUGGUUUGAGAGGAUGAUCAGCCACACUGGAACUGAGACACGGUCCAGACUCCUACGGGAGGCAGCAGUGGGGAAUAUUGGACAAUGGGCGCAAGCCUGAUCCAGCCAUGCCGCGUGUGUGAAGAAGGCCUUCGGGUUGUAAAGCACUUUCAGCGAGGAGGAAGGGUGGUGUGUUAAUAGCACAUCAUUUUGACGUUACUCGCAGAGGAAGCACCGGCUAACUCUGUGCCAGCAGCCGCCGUAAGAC
rnacentral:rRNA from 1 species